AGGUAAGCUACUAAGAGCGAAUGGUGGAUGCCUUGACUGGUAAAGGCGAUGAAGGACGUACUAGACUGCGAUAAGCUACGGGGAGCUGUCAAGAAGCUUUGAUCCGUAGAUUUCCGAAUGGGGCAACCCAAUGUAUAGAGAUAUACAUUACCUAUAUAGGAGCGAACGAGGGGAAUUGAAACAUCUUAGUACCCUCAGGAAAAGAAAUCAAUAGAGAUUGCGUCAGUAGCGGCGAGCGAAAGCGCAAGAGGGCAAACCCAGUGCUUGCACUGGGGGUUGUAGGACUGCAAUGUGCAAGAGGUAAGUUUAGCAGAACAUUCUGGAAAGUAUAACCAUAGAGGGUGAUAGUCCCGUAUGCGAAAAACAAACCUUAGCUAGCAGUAUCCUGAGUAGGGCGGGACACGAGGAAUCCUGUCUGAAUCCGGGUCGACCACGAUCCAACCCUAAAUACUAAUACCAGAUCGAUAGUGCACAAGUACCGUGAGGGAAAGGUGAAAAGAACUGAGGUGAUCAGAGUGAAAUAGAACCUGAAACCAUUUGCUUACAAUCAUUCAGAGCCCUAUGUAGCAAUACAGGGUGAUGGACUGCCUUUUGCAUAAUGAGCCUGCGAGUUGUGGUGUCUGGCAAGGUUAAGCAAACGCGAAGCCGUAGCGAAAGCGAGUCUGAAUAGGGCGCUUAGUCAGAUGCUGCAGACCCGAAACGAAGUGAUCUAUCCAUGAGCAAGUUGAAGCUAGUGUAAGAACUAGUGGAGGACUGAACCCAUAGGCGUUGAAAAGCCCCGGGAUGACUUGUGGAUAGGGGUGAAAGGCCAAUCAAACUUCGUGAUAGCUGGUUCUCUCCGAAAUAUAUUUAGGUAUAGCGUUGUGUCGUAAUAUAAGGGGGUAGAGCACUGAAUGGGCUAGGGCAUACACCAAUGUACCAAACCCUAUCAAACUCCGAAUACCUUAUAUGUAAUCACAGCAGUCAGGCGGCGAGUGAUAAAAUCCGUCGUCAAGAGGGAAACAACCCAGACUACCAGCUAAGGUCCCUAAAUCUUACUUAAGUGGAAAACGAUGUGAAGUUACUUAAACAACCAGGAGGUUGGCUUAGAAGCAGCCAUCCUUUAAAGAAAGCGUAAUAGCUCACUGGUCUAGUGAUUUUGCGCGGAAAAUAUAACGGGGCUAAAGUAAGUACCGAAGCUGUAGACUUAGUUUACUAAGUGGUAGGAGAGCGUUCUAUUUGCGUCGAAGGUAUACCGGUAAGGAGUGCUGGAGCGAAUAGAAGUGAGCAUGCAGGCAUGAGUAGC
rnacentral:rRNA from 1 species